rnacentral:rRNA from 1 species
ACCAGACUCCUACGGGAGGCAGCAGUGGGGGAUAUUGCACAAUGGGGGGAACCCUGAUGCAGCGACGCCGCGUGGGUGAAGGAGUAUUUCGGUAUGUAAAGCCCUCUCGGCAGGGAAGAAGCAAGACGGUACCUGACUAAGAAGCCCCGGCUAACUACGUGCCAGCAGCCGCGGUAAUACGUAGGGGGCGAGCGUUAUCCGGAUUUACUGGGUGUAAAGGGAGCGUAGACGGCCAUGCAAGCUCGGUGUGAAAGGUGCGGGCACAACCCGCAGACUGCACUGAGAACUGUAUGGCUGGAGUGCCGGAGGGGCAGGCGGAAUUCCUGGUGUAGCGGUGAAAUGCGUAGAUAUCAGGAGGAACACCGGUGGCGAAGGCGGCCUGCUGGACGGCGACUGACGUUGAGGCUCGAAAGCGUGGGGAGCGAACAGGAUUAGAUACCCGAGUAA